UACGUAGGGGGCGAGCGUUGUCCGGAUUUAUUGGGCGUAAAGAGCGUGUAGGCGGCCAUACAGGUCAGCUGUGAAAACUCGAGGCUCAACCUCGAGACGUCGGUUGAAACCGUAUGGCUAGAGUCCGGAAGAGGAGAGUGGAAUUCCCGGUGUAGCGGUGAAAUGCGCAGAUAUCGGGAAGAACACCUAUGGCGAAGGCAGCUCUCUGGGACGGUACUGACGCUGAGACGCGAAAGCGUGGGGAGCAAACAGG
rnacentral:rRNA from 1 species